rnacentral:rRNA from 1 species
UGCAGUCGAGCGGAUGAAGGGAGCUUGCUCCUGGAUUCAGCGGCGGACGGGUGAGUAAUGCCUAGGAAUCUGCCUGGUAGUGGGGGAUAACGUCCGGAAACGGGCGCUAAUACCGCAUACGUCCUGAGGGAGAAAGUGGGGGAUCUUCGGACCUCACGCUAUCAGAUGAGCCUAGGUCGGAUUAGCUAGUUGGUGGGGUAAAGGCCUACCAAGGCGACGAUCCGUAACUGGUCUGAGAGGAUGAUCAGUCACACUGGAACUGAGACACGGUCCAGACUCCUACGGGAGGCAGCAGUGGGGAAUAUUGGACAAUGGGCGAAAGCCUGAUCCAGCCAUGCCGCGUGUGUGAAGAAGGUCUUCGGAUUGUAAAGCACUUUAAGUUGGGAGGAAGGGCAGUAAGUUAAUACCUUGCUGUUUUGACGUUACCAACAGAAUAAGCACCGGCUAACUUCGUGCCAGCAGCCGCGGUAAUACGAAGGGUGCAAGCGUUAAUCGGAAUUACUGGGCGUAAAGCGCGCGUAGGUGGUUCAGCAAGUUGGAUGUGAAAUCCCCGGGCUCAACCUGGGAACUGCAUCCAAAACUACUGAGCUAGAGUACGGUAGAGGGUGGUGGAAUUUCCUGUGUAGCGGUGAAAUGCGUAGAUAUAGGAAGGAACACCAGUGGCGAAGGCGACCACCUGGACUGAUACUGACACUGAGGUGCGAAAGCGUGGGGAGCAAACAGGAUUAGAUACCCUGGUAGUCCACGCCGUAAACGAUGUCGACUAGCCGUUGGGAUCCUUGAGAUCUUAGUGGCGCAGCUAACGCGAUAAGUCGACCGCCUGGGGAGUACGGCCGCAAGGUUAAAACUCAAAUGAAUUGACGGGGGCCCGCACAAGCGGUGGGAGCAUGUGGUUUAAUUCGAAGCAACGCGAAGAACCUUACCUGGCCUUGACAUGCUGAGAACUUUCCAGGAGAUGGAUUGGUGCCUUCGGGAACUCAGACACAGGGGCUGCAUGGCUGUCGUCAGCUCGUGCCGGGAGAUGUUGGGUAAGUCCCGAACGAGCGCACCCUUGUCUUA